UAAAAUUUAUGAAAUGUUAGCUGGGGCGCGAUAGGGGAUUCAUAGUGACGUCAUGAAAAAUAAUUGUAUGAACACUGAUGAAUAUACAAUAUAAACACAGACAGAAGAUAACGAUCGCACACCUGCGAAGCUCCACUCGUUGGCUUCACCAAAACUAUAUAUUGGUACCAUUCUGGUGUUAACAUCAGUUCUCGAGAAGGCAGUACAGACAGUAAGAGCUUUUAUAUUCUAUAACAGAAAUGUCUGACGAACCAGUUCAGCAAGCAGAGAUGACAGAGGAGGAACCAAAAGCUGAAGAGGCGAGUGACAGCGAAAACGCAACUGAACCUGCAAAUCCGAUAUUAACUAGUGUCGUCGUUACACCCCCAAAUUGUCCAAAAGGAACCAAGAGGGAUGUCGACGGUGUGUGUCGACGCGUUUGGUGAUUUUACCAUUUAAAUCCCCGUUAAAGUCGCUCAAUAGACGCUGAAUCUAAUUAUCUCACUAUCUAGGAUAAUAUUCCUUUGUUUAGAUUCAUGUUUAUCGUCUAUGUUGUCUGAUAAUGUUUUAAUGUGUAAAUUUUAUUCGAAUAUUGUCCUUUCUCAAUUGAUUGUAUUACAUUUAUUUAUAAUUUUGAAAUUUUGUUUCGAAUUGUGUUUGGUAAAAAUAACGAUUUAUGUUUAUAAUUGAUAUUUAUGUUAACUGCUGAAACUGAUCUUAAAUA